AUUGAACGCUGGCGGCAGGCCUAACACAUGCAAGUCGAGCGGAUGAAGGGAGCUUGCUCCUGGAUUCAGCGGCGGACGGGUGAGUAAUGCCUAGGAAUCUGCCUGGUAGUGGGGGAUAACGUCCGGAAACGGGCGCUAAUACCGCAUACGUCCUGAGGGAGAAAGUGGGGGAUCUUCGGACCUCACGCUAUCAGAUGAGCCUAGGUCGGAUUAGCUAGUUGGUGGGGUAAAGGCCUACCAAGGCGACGAUCCGUAACUGGUCUGAGAGUGUGAUUAGUCACAAUGGAAAGGGAGAAACGGCCCAGAUCCCAAGGGGGGGAAGAGGGGGGGAAUGUAGGCAAUGGGGGGAAAGCCUAGCCUGGCCAUCCCGGGGGGGUAAAGGAGGUUUUGGGGUUGUAAAGCAUUUUAAGUUGGGAGAAAGGGAAGUAAGUUAAUCCCUUGGUUUUUUGACGUAACCAACAAAAAAAGCACCGGCCACUUGCGG
rnacentral:rRNA from 1 species